GAUGAACGCUGGCGGCGUGCCUAAUACAUGCAAGUCGAGCGAAUGGAUUAAGAGCUUGCUCUUAUGAAGUUAGCGGCGGACGGGUGAGUAACACGUGGGUAACCUGCCCAUAAGACUGGGAUAACUCCGGGAAACCGGGGCUAAUACCGGAUAACAUUUUGAACCGCAUGGUUCGAAAUUGAAAGGCGGCUUCGGCUGUCACUUAUGGAUGGACCCGCGUCGCAUUAGCUAGUUGGUGAGGUAACGGCUCACCAAGGCAACGAUGCGUAGCCGACCUGAGAGGGUGAUCGGCCACACUGGGACUGAGACACUGCCCCGACUCCUACGGGAGGCAGCAGUAGGGAAUCUUCCGCAAUGGACGAAAGUCUGACGGAGCAACGCCGCGUGAGUGAUGAAGGCUUUCGGGUCGUAAAACUCUGUUGUUAGGGGAGAACAAGUGCUAGUUGAAUAAGCUGGCACCUUGACGGUACCUAACCAGAAAGCCACGGCUAACUACGUGCCAGCCGCCGCAGUAA
rnacentral:rRNA from 1 species